AUUGAACGCUGGCGGCAGGCCUAACACAUGCAAGUCGAGCGAGCGGCGGACGGGUGAGUAAUGUAUGGGGACUGCCCGAUAGAGGGGGAUAACUACUGGAAACGGUAGCUAAUACCGGCUACUAUCGGCUAACCCAUAUCGGAUUAGCUAGUUGGUGGGGUAAAGGCUCACAAAGGCAACGAUCCGUAGCUGGUUUGAGAGGACGACCAGCCAAACUGGAACUGAGACACGGCCCAGACUCCUACGGAGGCAGCAGUGGGGAAUUUUGGACAAUGGGGGAAACCCUGAUCCAGCCAUCCCGCGUGUAUGAUGAAGGCCUUCGGGUUGUAAAGUACUUUUGGCAGAGAAGCGUUAUCUGCAGAAUAAGCACCGGCUAACUACGUGCCAGCAGCCGCGGUAAUAC
rnacentral:rRNA from 1 species